rnacentral:lncRNA from 1 species
CUCUUUGAAACACCAGUAUCUGAGCAAACCCAAGCUGGCACUUUGGGCUUGGUGGAGUGAUAUCAGCUUUGCCCAGGAGAAAAGCGACUCAAGAAGAGCCUCAUCCACCUUGAAGUUCCUGAUUAGCCUUCUCACUUUGCUGCCUUUCCUGCUCACAGAAACAACUGUUCUUCUAUGUAGUCCAGUGCACGAGCUUGAACACCAGGAAGAAGACAUACUUACUGGAUGGAGAUAUAAAACUUAG